AAGAAGUUAGUUUAAUAAAAACAACUGGUUUCGGCCCAGUAAAACUUAGUUAUACCCUAAGACUUCUCU
rnacentral:tRNA from 1 species